CCGGAUUGGAAGCAUCUCUAUUGCUUCUCUAUUGUCUCAAAAUGUGUCAACAGUUUGACACAUUUUGAGACGUCUGUAGGUAUUGUUCAGUUAUAGAAGCUGACAGACAGCUCAAGUGGGAUUUUUGACAGCUAUUGACACCUAGUUCUGCCGUGAGCAUGGAGAUUGAGGGCUAUUGGCAAGAGGUUUUUGUCAGAGAAGACAAUUGUAGAGCACUGCCGUGAAUGGUCAAAAACGAUGUGUGUCCGUGUUCCCCUAUCACCCCCCUCCCCUUGGGCCUAGGAGAGGUUUUUGUAUUUAAAUGAAGUUGCUGAGAGCCAUGUAAAUGCAAAUCAACUGUUGAGCACCGCCUUUUGACUCUUAUUCCUGUUGUAGCUAACCCAUUUUACCUUCUGUUCACCUGUUUACUAGACCCAGGACCUGGCCAAAACCUUUCAGUGUUAUUAAUUGAGAAAUAAUGAGAUUUAAGUAUAAAACAGGCAUUAAUGCUGAAAAUGUUCUAAUGUUACAAAGUCACACAAUUGGACCAAAUUUAAUGUGACAUUCACCAUCCAGCACUGAACACACUUAGCUCUGUCAACUUUCAUUUAACACUCCAGUCCAGUUGGUGGCAGUAAUGCGGUUUCAUAGUUGGUCAAGGAGCCGCCAUUAAACUCCAGACGAAGAUUUGCACCGGUGAUUUGAUGGAUUUAGCUACUACUAAACAUGAACGAAAAUACCCGUGCGUUGUGUGAAAUGGUGGAAAAGUCCCAUUUCACGGAUUUACCUUUUCAGUAUCGUUUUGAUAUUAAGCAAUGUUGCGGCAGAAAACAACAGAUGACACCGCGGCGGUCCAACAAGACCGAACUCACGACCUGAAAAAUGGCCAAGCAGAACCAGCCAGACCUCAGACCACGGUGCCGAGGAGCUCUGAGUCCACCAGGACCAAGAGAAAUUCAUACAGCAAGGCAGAGUGUGGAACGCAGUAAAGAUCUACAAAAUGGCGGAUGGAGGACGGAGUCAUGAAGCCUAGUCCACAGAAUGAGAGUCACAUUUGUGUC